rnacentral:rRNA from 1 species
AGUAACGCGUGAGGAACCUGCCUUGAAGAGGGGGACAACAGUUGGAAACGACUGCUAAUACCGCAUGACGCAUAGGGGUCGCAUGAUUCUUAUGCCAAAGAUUUAUCGCUUCAAGAUGGCCUCGCGUCUGAUUAGCUAGUUGGCGGGGUAACGGCCCACCAAGGCGACGAUCAGUAGCCGGACUGAGAGGUUGAACGGCCACAUUGGGACUGAGACACGGCCCAG